rnacentral:rRNA from 1 species
CCUACGGGCGGCUGCAGUGAGGAAUAUUGGUCAAUGGUCGGGAGACUGAACCAGCCAAGCCGCGUGAGGGAUGAAGGUACAGCGUAUCGUACACCUCUUUUGUCAGGGAACAAAGGCGGGGACGUGUCCCCGGAUGAGUGUACCUGAAGAAAAAGCAUCGGCUAACUCCGUGCCAGCAGCCGCGGUCAUCCGGAGGAUGCGAGCGUUAUCCGGAUUUAUUGGGUUUAAAGGGUGCGCAGGCGGUCUGUUAAGUCAGCGGUCAAAGCCCGGGGCUCACCCCCGGCCCGCCGUUGAAACUGGCAGUCUCGCGUUGGAGAGCAGUAUGCGGCCUGUGCGGUGUUGCGGUGAACUGCAU